rnacentral:rRNA from 1 species
AAGAGCAUCGGGUGGAUGCCUUGGCGUCGGAAGGCGAAGAAAGACGUGGUAAGCUGCGAUAAGCCUCGGGGAGAAGCUAAACAUUCUGCGAUCCGGGGAUGUCUGAAUGGGGAAACCCGGCGGGAGUCAUGUCCCGUCAUCCGCAAGUGAAUACAUAGCUUGCAGGAAGCCAACUCAGGGAAGUGAAACAUCUCAGUACCUGAAGGAAAGGAAAUCAAACGAGACUCCCUCAGUAGCGGCGAGCGAAGGGGGAAGAGCCUAAACCGGUUGGAUUCGUCCAGCCGGGGUUGUAGGGCCGGCAUAGGUGAUUCAUGAGUAGGCAGGGGAAGGAAGCUGGAAAGCUUUGCCAAAGCGGGUGACAGCCCCGUACCCGAACCUGAAAGUGACACAGCCGGUACCUGAGUACCGCGGGGCACGUGAAACCCCGUGGGAAUCCGGGAGGACCAUCUUCCAAGGCUAAGUACUAACCGACGACCGAUAGUGCACCAGUACCGUGAGGGAAAGGUGAAAAGAACCCCUGUCAGGGGAGUGAAAUAGAAUCUGAAACCUGAUGCUUACAAGCUGUGGGAGCCGUGCUUGCAUGGUGACCACGUGCCUUUUGCAUGAGUCAGCGAGUUAAUCUGUACUGCGAGGUUAAGCGUAAGUGGAGCCGUAGCGAAAGCGAGUCUGAUAAGGGCGAUAGUAGUGCGGAUUAGACCCGAAACCGGGUGAUCUAUCCAUGAGCAGGUUGAAGCACGGGUAAAACCUUGUGGAGGACCGAACCCAUACCGGCUGAAAACGGUUGGGAUGACUUGUGGAUAGGGGUGAAAGGCCAAUCAAACCCGGUGAUAGCUGGUUCUCCCCGAAAUAUAUUGAGGUAUAGCCUCGUGGAUUGUCUACCGGAGGUAAAGCACUGACAGAGCUAGGGGUCCUACCAGAUUACCAAACUCUUUCAAACUCAGAAUGCCGGUCAGAUGUACCACGGGAGUCAGACAGUGGGUGCUAAGGUCCAUUGUCGAGAGGGUAAGAGCCCAGAUCAACAGCUAAGGCCUCCAAAUGCAUGCUCAGUGGUUAAGGUGGUGACGUUGUAGAGACACCCAGGACGUUGGCUUAGAAGCAGCCAUCGUUUAAAGAAAGCGUAAUAGCUCACUGGUCUAAUGACGUUGCGCCGAAAAUGUAACGGGGCUAAGCAUGCUGCCGAAGCUUUGAAUUCCGCGUAUGCGGUCUGGUAGGGGAGCGUUCUUCAUGGGCUGAAGGUGUGUUGUAAAGCAUGCUGGACUGUGGAGAAGUGAUUAUGCUGACAUGAGUAACGAUAAAACGGGUGAAAAACCCGUUCGCCGUAAACCCAAGGUUUCCUGGGUAAAGGUAAUCUUCCCAGGGUUAGUCGGCCCCUAAGGCAAGGCUGAAAGGCGUAGCUGAUGGGAAACGUGUUAAUAUUCACGUACUUGUGUGUUCGCGCGAAGGAGGGACGCAGGAAGAUAGGCGAUCCGGGUGUUGGAUUACCCGGUGCAAGCGAGUAGGCAUGGGAAGCAGGCAAAUCCGUUUCCCUGUAUGCUGAGACGCGAGUCCGUGGGCGUAAGCCCUGAAGUCGCUGAGUCUAUGCUGCCAAGAAAAGCUUCUAAGUUUAGAACACGCAAACCGUACCGGAAACCAACUCAGGUGGGUGGGAUGAAUAAUCCAAGGCGCUCGAGAGAACUCUGGCCAAGGAACUCGGCAAAAUAACCCCGUACCUUCGGAAGAAGGGGUGCUCCUUUAGGUGAAGCGAUUCACUUGUUGAGCCUGAGGGAGCCGCAGAGAAAUGGUGGUGGCGACUGUUUACUAAAAACAUAGGUCUGUGCGAAGUCGUAAAGACGACGUAUACGGACUGACGCCUGCCCGGUGCCGGAAGGUUAAAAGGAGGGGUCAGCGCAAGCGAAGCUCCGAAUUGAAGCCCCGGUAAACGGCGGCCGUAACAAUAACGGUCCUAAGGUAGCGAAAUUCCUUGUCGGGU